CAGUCGCCGCGGGAACACCGAGGUCUCAAGCGUUGUUCGGAUUCAUUGGGCGUAAAGGGUGCGUAGGUGGCGGUGUAAGUCUAACGUGAAAUCUCGGGGCUCAACCUCGAAAUUGCGUCGGAUACUGCAUUGCUAGAGGAUUGUAGAGGAGAGUGGAAUUCAUGGUGUAGCAGUGAAAUGCGUAGAUAUCAUGAGGAAGACCAGUUGCGAAGGCGACUCUCUGGGCAAUUCCUGACACUGAGGCACGAAGGCUAGGGGAGCAAACGGGAUUAGAUACCCCCGUAGUCCCUGUCUCUUAUAA
rnacentral:rRNA from 1 species